rnacentral:tRNA from 1 species
AAAAAUUUAGUUAAAAUAAUAACAUUAACUUGUCAAGUUAAAAUCAAUAUUAAAUAUUAAUUUUUA